UUACGGCCAUUUCACAUUGAUACACCGGUUCACGUACGAUCACCGAAAUUAAGCAACUUCGAGCCAGAUCAACUAGAUGGGUGACCACUUGCGAAUACCAGGUGCUGUAAG